UACCUGCUAGCUCUGUCUGUAAAGCAUAAGACUCUUAAUCUUAGGGUUGUGGGUUCGAGCCCCAUGUUGGGCAA